GACGAACGCUGGCGGCGUGCUUAACACAUGCAAGUCGAACGGAAAGGCCCUUCGGGUACUCGAGUGGCGAACGGGUGAGUAACACGUGGGUGAUCUGCCCUGCACUUUGGGAUAAGCCUGGGAAACUGGGUCUAACACCGAAUAGGACUACGCUCUUCAUGGGGUGUGGUGGAAAGCUUUUGCGGUGUGGGAUGGGCCCGCGGCCUAUCAGCUUGUUGGUGGGGUAAUGGCCUACCAAGGCGACGACGGGUAGCCGGCCUGAGAGGGUGACCGGCCACACUGGGACUGAGAUACGGCCCAGACUCCUACGGGAGGCAGCAGUGGGGAAUAUUGCACAAUGGGCGCAAGCCUGAUGCAGCGACGCCGCGUGAGGGAUGACGGCCUCGGUUG
rnacentral:rRNA from 1 species